rnacentral:lncRNA from 1 species
UGACUCAAAUCAGCCUGAGAAAGAAAGCCAGCUGGCAGGCAUGAGGGCACUAAUAGGCUCUGAUUGCCCUAACCAGCCCCUCCUGAGGCAGCCUCCGCCCAUGGUCCAUGCUCUAUAGCAGCCCAAGUCUGAACCCUCCCUGUCUUUUUGUGUGCUGUGUUGUAGAGGGAGUAAGCAGUGCAAUUGCUCUGGAGAAGCUACUGUGACCUGUUUUCCUCCUUGUCUUCCUGAUGGGAGCAUCUCUGUUCUUACUGCACUCUGCUGUUGGAUUCCUGUCUCCAAAGAGGUGUUCAGCUGACGGUCAGUCUUUGUUGCUGAGCUGCAGUCAAGUCCUCGAUGUGUUGUGCUGCUCUGCAGAAAGAUCACGUGUGAAGUUCUUUUCUCUAACUUUCUCAGCUUCAAAACUUGAGGUACAGUUAAAGAUGGGAUCUCUCACUGUGAAUGCUGCUGGGGUUUUCAAACAACUUUGAAAAGCUACCUUCCACCGACACAAAGGGAGGAGAUGCUUGUAUGUAUAGAUGAAAUUGUCAGCAUCGGGGCAAGAAAGAGAGGAUUGAGUGCACUGUUUUUAAGUGAACCAAAAGGAUGGUUGUAACUAACUAAAAAAGCACUAGAAUAUCUAUCUAUGAUACUAAAACUGCUUUUGUACUGUGAAAGACCUGGCUUAUUGAGGUUUUUUUUUACUUGAGGGGGGUGAAAUAUGGGGAAGGUGAUCUGAAAAUGUUAUCUUGAUAUCUUAUGUUUUGUAAUUGAUGAUUUUGUCUUGGUCUUGUAAGAUGACUUUGAGAAAACCAUUCACUGUUGUGGAAUGCAGGUAUAGCUGGAAAAGCACUUGAAAUUUUCCAGUGUUUCUGAUAGGAAUAACUUUCUGCAUGUCUGACUUUCCAGUCCUUCAUAUUUCUUUUGGAUUCCUGGUGACUUCUGUAAUGGAAAUUGCAUGUGGCAUGUCUUUCACACUCAUAGAUUUAUCAAGGUCAAGCUGACAAGUUUUCUUUUCCCAGCAUUUGACUUUAUGUGACAACCUGUACUAAGUCUUCGCCACUUCAGGCAGAUGACUAGACACAUCCCACAAGACCAGGGAUGCUUUGUUACAGUGAUAAAGUGGCUGUCAGACUGUUGGUGUUAAGUGCUGUUCAACAUAUACAAAAAAUAAUGGGGAACUAACGUAAGAAUUAUAAUGAAAGGGGGAAACUUCAGGCUGGAUCCAAGCACUGCUACGAGCUUAGUCACCUUAUAGGGAGAGCUGUACAAAUUCAAUUCAUUUGACUCUUCAUCUGAAUGAAGAUCAGUGGUGUUUUUCAGGGAUCAGUGCUGGGACUGAUCACAAAAUCAUAGAAUGGCUCUGGUUGGAAAAGAUCUUAAAAAUCAUCAAGUCCAACUGCAACCUAACCAUACUACCCUAGACUGACCCUUUUCAAUUUCUUUAUCAUUGAUAGUGGGAUUGAGUGUACCUGCAGCAAGUUUGCAAAU